rnacentral:rRNA from 1 species
UACGAAGGGGGCUAGCGUUGCUCGGAAUCACUGGGCGUAAAGCGCACGUAGGCGGAUUGCUAAGUCAGGGGUGAAAUCCUGGAGCUCAACUCCAGAACUGCCUUUGAUACUGGCGAUCUUGAGUCCGGGAGAGGUGAGUGGAACUCCGAGUGUAGAGGUGAAAUUCGUAGAUAUUCGCAAGAACACCAGUGGCGAAGGCGGCUCACUGGCCCGGUACUGACGCUGAGACGCGAAAGCGUGGGGAGCAAACAGG